rnacentral:rRNA from 1 species
AGUGAACGCUGGCGGUAGGCCUAACACAUGCAAGUCAAACGGCAGCACAGGAGAGCUUGCUCUCUGGGUGGCGAGUGGCGGACGGGUGAGGAAUACAUCGGAAUCUACCUUUUCGUGGGGGAUAACGUCGGGACACUUACGCUAAUAACGCAUACGAACUACGGGUGAAAGUGGGGGACCGCAAGGCCUCACGCGAUGAGAUGAGCCGAUGUCUGAUUAGCUAGUUGGCGGGGUAAGGGCCCACCAAGGCGACGAUCGGUAGCGUGUGGGUGAGGAUGAGAAGGCACACUGGAACGGAGACACGGUCCAGACCCCGACGGGAGGCAGCGGUGGGGAAAAUUGGAUAAUGGGCGCAAGCCUGAUCCAGCCAUACCGCGUGGGUGAAGAAGGCCUUCGGGUUGUAAAGCCCUUUUGUUGGGAAAGAGAACCUGUCGAUUAAUACUCGGUGGGGAUGACGGUACCCAAAGAAUAAGCACCGGCUAACUUCGUGCCAGCAGCCGCAGUAAAAC